rnacentral:rRNA from 1 species
CCAAUAGCGUAUAUUAAAGUUGUUGCAGUUAAAAAGCUCGUAGUUGAAUUUCGGGAUCAAGGGAUCGGUCAUGCCUUGGUAUGUACUGGUCUUAUUGGUUCUCACCUUCUAAAGAACCAUGAUGUCAUUCAUUUGAUGUUAUGGGGAAUUAGGACUGUUACCUUGAAAAAAUUAGAGUGUUUAAAGCAAGCUUACGCUUGAAUACAUUAGCAUGUAAUAAUGAAAUAGGACAUCAGAUUCUAUUUUGUUGGUUUCUAGGAUCGAUGUAAUGAUUAAUAGGGAUAGUUGGGGGCAUUAGUAUUCAAUUGUCAGAGGUGAAAUUCUUGGAUUUAUUGAAGACUAACUACUGCGAAAGCAUUUGCCAAGGAUGUUUUCAUUAAUCAAGAACGAAAGUUAGGGGAUCGAAGACGAUCAGAUACCGUCGUAGUCUUAACCAUAAACUAUGCCGACUAGGGAUCGGAUGAUGUUAAUUUUUUAAUGACUCAUUCGGCACCUUAC